GGACAAGGAGCUGGUAUCAGGCACGAAAAUCUGCCCAAAACACCUAGCUAUGCCACACCCACAAGGGAAUUCAGCAGUGAGUAACAUUGAGCAUAUGCGCAAGCUUGACUCAGCUAAAGUAAGAUAGAGCCGGCUAAUCUGGUGCCAGCCGCCGCGGUUACACCACGUGGCUCAAAUUGACCCCUCCGGCGUAAAGCGUGAUUAAAGUUAUUCUCAACUAGAGUUAAACUAAAAUUAAGCUGUGACACGCCUAUUAUUAAGAAACCCAAAAACGAAAGUUACUCUAAAUAAACAACUUGAAUUCACGACAGCUGGGAAACAAACUGGGAUUAGAUACCCCACUAUGCCCAGCCGUAAACUUUUAAUUACACCCUAAUCGCCAGGGAACUACGAGCUAAGCUUAAAACCCAAAGGACUUGACGGUACCCCAUAUCCCCCUAGAGGAGCCUGUCCUAUAAUCGAUAAUCCACGUUUAACCUCACCAUUUCUAGUUUAUCAGCCUGUAUACCUCCGUCGUCAGCUUACCACGUGAGCGCUAAUUAGUGAGCCUAAUGCUUUUUCACCAACACGUCAGGUCAAGGUGCAGCAAAUGAAAUGGGAAGAGAUGGGCUACACUUUCUAUAUUAGAAGAAACGAAAAACUACCUAUGAAACCUAGUUGGAAGGCGGAUUUAGCAGUAAAAAGGAAUCAGCAUGUCCAUUUUAACCCGGCACUGGGGUGUGUACACACCGCCCGUCACCCUCUUCAGAGCUACUAACCCAGUCCCUAACUAGCUUAUGCACAACAGAAGAGGCAAGUCGUAACAUGGUAAGUAUACCGGAAGGUGUGCUUGGAAA
rnacentral:rRNA from 1 species